rnacentral:rRNA from 1 species
UUGCCAAGAAUGUUUCCGUUAAUCAAGAACGAAAGUUAGAGGUUCGAAGGCGAUCAGAUACCGCCCUAGUUCUAACCAUAAACGAUGCCAGCCAGCGAUCCGCCGAAGUUCCUCCGAUGACUCGGCGGGCAGCUUCCGGGAAACCAAAGCUUUUGGGUUCCGGGGGAAGUAUGGUUGCAAAGCUGAAACUUAAAGGAAUUGACGGAAGGGCACCACCAGGAGUGGAGCCUGCGGCUUAAUUUGACUCAACACGGGAAACCUCACCAGGCCCGGACACCGGAAGGAUUGACAGAUUGAGAGCUCUUUCUUGAUUCGGUGGGUGGUGGUGCAUGGCCGUUCUUAGUUGGUGGAGCGAUUUGUCUGGUUAAUUCCGGUAACGAACGAGACUCUAGCCUGCUAAAUAGACGAUUUCCGGUAUCCACAAUAGUGCUACCGGCGAAAUCAAUAUCUUCUUAGAGGGACAGGCGGCUUUCAGCCGCACGAAACUGAGCAAUAACAGGUCUGUGAUGCCCUUAGAUGUCCUGGGCCGCACGCGCGCUACACUGAAGGAAUCAGCGUGUACACCCUGGCCGAAAGGCUCGGGCAACCCGUUGAACCUCCUUCGUGCUAGGGAUUGGGGCUUGCAAUUGUUCCCCAUGAACGAGGAAUUCCCAGUAAGCGCGAGUCAUAAGCUCGCGUUGAUUACGUCCCUGCCCUUUGUACACACCGCCCGUCGCUACUACCGAUUGAAUGAUUUAGUGAGGUCUUCGGACUGGUGCGCGGCGGCCGCCUGCGCGGCCGCCGAUGCCACCGGGAAGAUGACCGAACUUGAUCAUUUAGAGGAAGUAAAAGUCGUAACAA